GCGGCCUCCCAUAAUGCCCCGCAGCCCGGACGGCGCGACGGCGACACUUUCCCCUCGAGCAACAACGGUGCCCGGCAAGACAGUUCCGGAGUGCAACAGAGCAGAUGUGGUUUUGUUUCCUGUUUUAUUUUUCCUAUUUCGAAAAGGAAUGGGGUCUUUUAAAUGUAUUGUAGUAGUUACUGUCCGCCAGUUUUUUAAACAGUCACGAUCGUGUAUCUGACCGACUUGGCGCGCCUUUUUAGGUCCGUGCCCGAAAGAUUUCCGUUCCUUCAGUUUUUAAAAAUAUUAUUUUUACUGCUUCUGUCCGAAUUAUAAUUUGAAAGUGUCUUUUUAUAUCAACAUAGUCUUGGGUAGAUGUUUUCUCUGUUAUGUUUCGUAUCUUUCUCUAUAUCGGUCAAAUAUACUGUGAAAAUUUAUUUUAAAAAACUUAAAAGACAGUGUCUCAUGGAUUUCAAGGGGAAAGCAGCCGGUAUCGUUUAGAAAUCUGCAAAAAUGGUUUUCUGAUAUAAGCAUAUGCUGGACUCAAUGCGCACACACACACGACCUUACAGCUGGGAUAUUUGCCUGGUCUGCAGCCAUCAGAGGGAAAGGACCAACGGACAGGCUGCCUGCCUAAAGCAAACAAGGGAAUCUGCUGGAACUAACCAACAGAUGAUUAAAGAAGAACACCUGGACCAAAAAAGCCUUUCUUGCCACAGAGACAGUCUCCACGUCUCUCCGGAGUCUUACAAUAAGCCAAAAGCACCUGGUGCCAGAGGAAAGUAGAGUGAAGGAAUGCCUCCAUUACAGUCAAGAGGGGAGCAGAUGGAAGCAAGGCUUACAAUCCAAGCUGUUGUCACAACUUCAAAAGAUGGCCAUUACACGACAGACAAGCAUUGCAUAAUAAGGAAUUAAUAUUGCAUGCAGCUGAGUGGAUCCAGCCACUCAGCAAAGUAUGCUCCUGCUUUAGUGGCUCCAUCCCAGUAGCUUCUUAAAGACAAUCCUAAAAAAACAAACCAACCCUCUGAAUUAAGUUAACAAAUGCCAUCCAAAAAUAAGCGCACACAUACACAAAUAACAAAAACUCAUCAUGAUUAAUAAAACUUUAUUUCCCAGCACUGGAACUUUAAUGUUUUUGUCUGAUGCUUUUAUUAGGUCCAGUAAAGUGCAGCCACUAUUGCUCAGGAUACACAUAAAAAAAUACAAUAAGAAAAAUGUUGGCUUUGGUUUAUUUAAUUCUUAUACUCGGUUUUUACUAAUACAGUGGAACCUCGGUUUUCAUUGCCUUCGGUUUUCAUCAGUUUCGGUUUUCAUCAAAUUUUUCAGUGAAAAAUUUGUCUCA